GACGAACGCUGGCGGCGUGCUUAACACAUGCAAGUCGAGCGGUAAGGCCCUUCGGGUACACGAGCGGCGAACGGGUGAGUAACACGUGGGUGACCUGCCUCUAGCUCUGGGAUAAGCCUGGGAAACUGGGUCUAAUACCGGAUAUGACUCCACGGCGCAUGCUGUGGGGUGGAAAGCCUUGUGUGGCUAGAGAUGGGCCCGCGGCCUAUCAGCUUGUUGGNGGGUGAUGGCCUACCAAGGCGACGACGGGUAGCCGGCCUGAGAGGGCGACCGGCCACACUGGGACUGAGACACGGCCCAGACUCCUACGGGAGGCAGCAGGUGGGGAAUCUUGGACAAUGGGCGCAAGCCUGAUCCAGCCAUGCCGCGUGAGUGAU
rnacentral:rRNA from 1 species